AGCCCCGUGGUGUAGCGGUCAAGCAUACAAGCCUCUGGAGCUUGUGACCCCGGUUCGAAUCCGGGCGGGGCUA
rnacentral:tRNA from 1 species